CCCUAAGCUUCAAUGCCUUUUCUUAGGGACACUCACCUUUUGUUUAUUUUUGGUUUAAGCAUUAGACACCUUUUUACCUACACACUGCCUCCCGCUGUUUCCGACAUUUACUAAGCAAUUAGCUACUGGCUGCCACCUACUGAUAUGGAAGAGUAUUACAUGGUUACUCUGCCGAGCUCUAGACAGCACCGACACUCAACAACAACACAUCAUCUGCAGACUAUAAUUACUGGUUUGCAAAAAAUGUUUUUAACCCAAUUAGGUGAAAUUAGAUCAUCUCCCACGGCACACCAGACCGCGGCACAGUGGUUGAAAAACACUGUGCCAUAGUACAAGAAGAUGUAGCAUGAGGGAUCGGGGUUGCCAAUUUAGUGAUGCUGCUAUAUUUAGUGUAUAGACCCCUCUAGAUACACUUUGAUUUGCUAUUUAUGUUUUUUCCAGGUGUCAUGGCUGAAUAUGCAAAUUAGACGUAACAAAGUAGAUCAGUCAUGUGGGAAACACUGAUGUGACACUUCCACUUGAUGUGUGACUUCCUGUGUGAGUCUCCACAGUUCAACGUUUGUCGCCCUUUCACCAGAUCAACGUGCUGCUAAAAGUAGCAUAGCAUGCUAACGUGUCCCGACGUCACGGCGUGGACUUACAGGCGCUUGGAGAAGAACGUCAGGGUUCAGCCGGACCUCCAGCUGGAUGCUCGCGUCCCGGCCGGCCUCCACGUUGCCAAGGCGACACACCAGACGCUCGCACAGCUGGUCGCCACGCCCACAGAACUAUACACACGUUUGACGUGGAGGAGAAGAAGAAGACCAGUUGUUUGAUGAAGGACGCUUGAGGGACGUCGCAGUCAUCGAGGACUGAGACGGUGUCGCCGCUGACGGUGCAGGCCCCUUGUGACACCUGUGGAGAAGAAGGAAGGAGGUGGGAGUCACAAAACUGCAAAGACAAAGAUGACGUCAUUGUACACAAGUCUUACACUACACAACUGUGCGUGUGUGUGUGUAACACUAAGGAGUCCAUAUGUUGCUAUCUGCAGUCAAUAAGCCUGAAAAGUGCAGACUUCUCUCUGCCCACGAGUCGUAAUUCGCUGAAAAUUGGUACAGCAAAACCAGAG